rnacentral:rRNA from 1 species
AUUGAACGCUGGCGGAAUGCUUUACACAUGCAAGUCGAACGGCAGCACGGACUUCGGUCUGGUGGCGAGUGGCAAACGGGUGAGUAAUACAUCGGAACGUGCCCAAUCGUGGGGGAUAACGUAGCGAAAGCUACGCUAAUACCGCAUACGAUCUAAGGAUGAAAGCGGGGGAUCGCAAGACCUCGCGCGAAUGGAGCGGCCGAUGGCAGAUUAGGUAGUUGGUAGGGUAAAGGCCUACCAAGCCGACGAUCUGUAGCUGGUCUGAGAGGAUGAUCAGCCACACUGGGACUGAGACACGGCCCAGACUCCUACGGGAGGCAGCAGUGGGGAAUUUUGGACAAUGGACGCAAGUCUGAUCCAGCCAUUCCGCGUGCAGGAUGAAGGCCCUCGGGUUGUAAACUGCUUUUGUACAGAACGAAAAGGCUCUGGUUAAUACCUGGGGCUCAUGACGGUACUGUAAGAAUAAGCACCGGCUAACUACGUGCCAGCCGCCGCGGUAACAC